AGUGAACGCUGGCGGUAGGCCUAACACAUGCAAGUCGAACGGCAGCACAGGAGAGCUUGCUCUCUGGGUGGCGAGUGGCGGACGGGUGAGGAAUACGUCGGAAUCUACUCUGUCGUGGGGGAUAACGUAGGGAAACUUACGCUAAUACCGCAUACGACCUACGGGUGAAAGCAGGGGACCUUCGGGCCUUGCGCGAUUGAAUGAGCCGAUGUCGGAUUAGCUAGUUGGCGGGGUAAAGGCCCACCAAGGCGACGAUCCGUAGCUGGUCUGAGAGGAUGAUCAGCCACACUGGAACGGAGACACGGUCCAGACUCCUACGGGAGGAAGCAGUGGGGAAUAUUGGACAAUGGGCGCAAGCCUGAUCCAGCCAUACCGCGUGGGUGAAGAAGGCCUUCGGGUUGUAAAGCCCUUUUGUUGGGAAAGAAAUCCAGCUGGCUAAUACCCGGUUGGGAUGACGGUACCCAAAGAAUAAGCACCGGCUAACUUCGUGCCAGCAGCCGCCGUAA
rnacentral:rRNA from 1 species